UGCGAGUCAUUGUAGUAAUACAAGGCAGACGGCUCAGUAACGCGUAGUCAACCUACCCUAUGGACGGGAAUAACCUCGGGAAACUGAGAAUAAUGCCCGAUAGAACAUUAUACCUGGAAUGGUUUAUGUUCCAAAUGAUUUAUCGCCGUAGGAUGGGACUGCGGCCUAUCAGUUUGUUGGUGAGGUAAUGGCCCACCAAGACUACUACAGGUACGGGCUCUGAGAGGAGUAGCCCGGAGAUGGGUACUGAGACACGGACCCAGGCCCUAUGGGGCGCAGCAGGCGAGAAAACUUUGCAAUGUGCGAAAGCACGACAAGGUUAAUCCGAGUGGUUUCUGCUAAAGGAACCUUUUGACAGUCCUAGAAACACUGUUGAAUAAGGGGUGGGCAAGUUCUGGUGUCAGCCGCCGCGGUAAAACCAGCACCUCAAGUGGUCAGGAUGAUUAUUGGGCCUAAAGCAUCCGUAGCCGGCUCUGUUAGUUUUCGGUUAAAUCUGUACGCUCAACGUACAGGCUGCCGGGAAUACUGCAGAGCUAGGGAGUGGGAGAGGUAGACGGUACUCGGUAGGAAGGGGUAAAAUCCUUUGAUCUAUUGAUGACCACCUGUGGCGAAGGCGGUCUACCAGAACACGUCCGACGGUGAGGGAUGAAAGCUGGGGGAGCAAACCGGAUUAGAUACCCGGGUAGUCCCAGCUGUAAACCAUGCAAACUCAGUGAUGCAUUGGCUUGUGGCCAGUGCAGUGCUGCAGGGAAGCCGUUAAGUU
rnacentral:rRNA from 1 species